AGGAAGUGAAGAUAUUCAUAAUGAUAAAGCCACAAAGUUAGAAGAAUCCUGAAUCCCUGAAUUUUUACUUAGAAGAAUACCACCGAGGAGAACUCAUUCAGCCUAUAUAAGACUAUGGCAUGAGUGGACACACAUUUUCCUAAGAGGGGAGGCUCCUGGCCUAUCCAGCUGCAUGUUUCUUCUCCAUUUCUGGGAAAGAAGAUACCAAAUUGUAAAAGAUGCAAGGAAUUAAAGCUGCUGAAACGUUAAUGAUGGAAGAAGCUGAGGCCACAUCAUUACGAGGCGACAUUUAAAGGAGAUGAGGAAUGAGCCAUGUGCAUCUCUCAGAAGAAUAGCCGGGCAGAUGGAGCAGCUAGCACAGAGGCACCAAGGCAAGUAUGUGUCCGGUGCAUCCAAGAAAUAUCCAAAAGGCCAAGAUGGGUGCAAGAAGGAAGCAAGAAAGAGCUGUGAAAGUUGAAGUCAGAAAGAUAAAGAAGGGAAGAAUCAGGA